rnacentral:rRNA from 1 species
UACAGGGGGUGCAAGCGUUGCUCGGAAUCAUUGGGCGUAAAGCGCACGUAGCGGUUCGUUAUGUCGGAUGUGAAGCCCUUGGCUUAAACCGACGGGAAGUGCUAUCCGAAAACUGGCGAGCUAGAGUACUAAAGAGGAUGCGGAAUUCCCGGGUGUAGAGGUGAAAUUCGGUAGAUAGUCGGGAAGGAACACCGGUGGCGAAGGCGGCGAUCGUGGGGUAGAUACGUGAACGGCUGAGGUGGCGAAAAGCG